rfam:Nicotiana attenuata strain TT chromosome 2, whole genome shotgun sequence.
GGGCGGGUAGCCAAGUGGAUCAAGACAGUGGAUUGUGAAUCCACCAUGCGCGGGUUCAUUCCCGUCGUUCGCCCA